UUGUCAUUUAAUUAUAAACAAGGCCAAAUAAAGCAAGCUUUGAAUGUAAAAGAGACAUCAUCAGAUGGAAAACAAAAUGUCUUUGUUUUAAAAUAAGCUUCUCUCUUUACCAGCUCUCAACUUUGUCUCUUUUUCAAUGCUAACCGCAAAGCUUACAUCUUAAUAGAUCUGGAAAAGUCUAGGGCGAAUCAAAUUUAUAUUUAAGCCAUUCUGAUUAUUAUCCUCAAUUAAUCACAAUGUUUAUAAAGCUAAAUGUGUUCGUUAACAUAAUCUCAUGAUUUACAGGAUUAUAAUAAUCACCAUAUUCAUGUUUGUGUAUACUUUGCUUAAUUUUUCUUAUAGCUUAACAUCUUAGUUAUCAUCUUUAGCAACGGCACCAUUUAUUUUGGCUUGCUUGGUAAGCACUGGAAUUAUCGGCAGGUUGAAUUAACUUUUAGCUUUUGAAAACAUAUGGUCGUAAUAAGCUGAUUGAUAAACACUGGUUGCUUGCCUGGUAAUAACAGAUUCCUUGAUUACCAACUUGAACAUUAUCAAUUAUCAUUCCAUGGUUCUUCAAAAUGCUGUCUCAUAUUGAUUGAACUAAUUUUGGAUAAUUAUUCAUAAUUUUUUGCAAUUACAUAAAAAGCUGAUGAAAUUCUGUUAUUUUUUAGUUACUGCCUUGCGCUAUAAAUCAGUCGGUGUUGUGUGUUAUGGAUUAAGGCAUGUGACUUUGGCAAGCUUAAAGUGUUCACUCAAACCUUGACUUAGAAAUUAUUAUCUUCAUCUGUAUCAUGGUUAUUUCCCAAUCGUUUUUGUUUCUGGAUUGGAGAUUGGAUUUGCAUUUUAAAAGUUAGCAAUCAAAUUCAACCAUUCAAAUGUAAUUGGAAACAUGAGAUUUGCAUUCUGAUCAAACCAUUGGCCAACGGUGACUGUUCUCAAAAUAUAACGAUGAACGAAAGUGGAGCGACAAUUCAAUACUAAUAGAAAAGACUGGAGACUUGAACAGAAAUUGAAAAUUACAUUUUGGUGGAUAAUCAUAAUCAAGUAUCAACAAUAAACAGCUGUGGCAAGAUAACCAGAUACAUGUUUCCCAAUAAUGUAUAUAAAUAGAGAUGUUCAAUGAUGGCCUAACUGUCGUGGUAUCCUUGUUCAACUAGCAAUAUCAUCCAUCAAUUGUGUGUUUAUUCCUGCUAAACCAUGUAAAGCUUCAAUGUAAAUUUUCUGAACGAGUUGAAACUAUCAUAUGAAAACAUUCAUGCAAGGACAAAUUAUCACAAACAUUGCGCAGAUCUUUCACACAAUUAUUCACUAAUUUCCCGAGUUUUGGAUUUGUUGGAUAUCAAACAAUUAGUUAGCAAGUAAUUUAUCAAGUAGCAUUAAUCAUAGACACAAGCGAUCGUCUUCAAUGAAAAUUGGUGAUAAGUAAAAGAGAAAAGGACAAGAAAAUUAAGCAAACAAUUACCUGAUUU